UUGGAACAGGUACUGAUGCUCACUUUCCAAGCACAUAUCUGAUGCCGCAGACUGUGGAAGAUUAUCUGUCCGAACCUUUUCCUU